AAAAGUACGUGAAAAUGGCGAAAGGGAAACACUUGAAGUCAGCCUGCUGCUUGAGACUAAGCCUGGCCUUUGGACCUGUGUAUUUCUCGGCGGCAACCCAUAUUGGUUUGGGUCCCCGGAAAAGCGCAUAGAAAAUGGCACGUUCCCGCACGUGUUAUACCCUUCCCCAAGAUACGACCACCUGCAUCAAAGAACGCAGUGUGCCCUCUGGGCGGGUCUUCAGACACCUUCACACUUAAGAUGCUGGCAAAGUGGCUUUAAGUGGCCCGUCUUGAAACACGGCCCAAGA
rnacentral:rRNA from 1 species